rnacentral:tRNA from 1 species
GCCAGGGGAGCAUGGGUGGUUCAUGCACUCGACUUGUAAUCGAGACUUCCCGCGUUCGAAUCGCGGCCCUGGCU